GGAAAGAAAACAGUCCAGGAAGAGCUCUCUGCUCCAGCUAGCUGGAAAUCCAAGGGGAUCUGUGUCUUGUUGUCUGUCUGUGCUGUAGUCCAAACUCCCGAUGCGGGGGGAGCAAGUGCAGUCUCUGAUAACAGACUCGGUGCUUCUUCUCCACUCACUUUUACUCUGAGAUGGAGUUUUAAGGAUACAAAACCUAUUUCUGGGCUAGGUGGAUGAAUGGGGAUACAAUUUAACAUCACAAUCACCCCGGGACAGUUCCUUUAUCCAAUCCCAGCAGUUUGGUUUCCAGCCCAAAGCUCUCGGAGGAGCCUCCUGGGCUCGUGGCUCCUUUACCCAGCAAACCUUCCCCAGUGUGUGAGGCACGAAGGAUUUGGGUCCCUGGCAGCGGGGGGAGCCCUGGGAUAACACAUUCCCUGCUUUUCCAUCGGCAGAGCACCUGUGAUCCAGUGCCAAACCACUCGGAGAGCCUGAGCCACACUGUGACCGUGCCCCUGCAGGCCCCGCUGGGGACGCUGGAGGAAAUCGCCUGCUGACCCCUCCCCACCACAGUGCCCAUCCCGAGGAAGGAAAACUGCACAGGGAAAACAGGGACCCAGCUCAGUCCCUGGGUUUCAGUGCCAGAAGGAGCAUCCCAGAAUUCUCCAUUCCCAGCGCCGUAGGCUGAGAGUUUUAGAAUAAAAGAGAUCCAAAAACCGCCGCUCUCGGAUUCUUCUCCCGGCCGCGUCCUGGGUGAGGCUGGGCAGAAUCCCGAGCUCAGCCCAAGGUGAGCAUCCCAGGAGAGGAGGCACAGGGGCUCCCUAUGGAUCAUCCCAGUCCUGCUCCAUUCCCUCUGCCUGCAGUGCCUGGAGAGCCCGGGAGCGGCGGGUGGGGUCGGGUUCAUUCAUUUCUUUCUUCAUUUUUGGGGGGAAUUUUUGGAAUUUCCUUCUCCCAUCCGUGGAUUCUGUGCUUUCUCCUCGUUCUCCUGACUGAUAUUAAAGCUGGUCUUGUGGAAAUGGC